CAAACUAUGCCAUGCCUUCCCCAGGACACCUCCUCCUUGUAUGCCUUUGCCAUGACAGAUGGAGCCCACCCACCAGGCUUUGAACACCAAGGUUUGGACAGGUAGCUCUCCUGACCACGAGUGUCCAGCACCUGCUGCCUAUCCUCGGACCCCAGCCCGAGGGCCUUCCCCUCCAGCCUGCUGUUGAGCUCUGGUGCAGUGCCCACCCUCUGAUCACAUUUUCUUCAGAAACAAACACUUCCAUCUAUGAUUGUGACUCGAAUGACUGCUGGCUGAUUACUCUCACUCAAGGAUGUUGGCAUUACACCUCAGAGGCCCCCAGUUACUUCUAGAACCCCCAGGAGGUACAACCCAUCUAGACUGUGGGCAACGGCUGGAGCGCGACGGGAGAAGGGACAGGACAUGUCAUCCCAGCGUAGGAGAGAACACCGCUGGGACUCAGUGAGCAGAAGCCUGCAGGGCUCAGGAGGAGGAACCCUCUUAAGGUGAUUCCCUGGGACAGAAUCCUCAUCAACAUCACAUCUACCUAAAUUUCACCAGCCCAGGCCAAUUUUUUAACAGGUUACACAGUCUCUGGUAGUCUUGUGUUUAUAUACGUUGGUGCUGGGAAAUCUUUGAGAGCUUGAGCUAAGAGCUUUCUUCCUCACCAGAAGGCUCGCUCUUCACCCCACACACUUAUAAUUUAACAACAGGACAGACAGUAGAAGGGACCAUGCCUAUUGACAUUCUAACCUUGAAUUUGGCAGGAUUCCAGGAGAAAGGGAGAGGGGAACGAAGCUUUAAGUCUCUCAGUGCUGUUUCUUUUUCCAAUAUGAAUUCCUUCUUUAAUGUCUAGUUAUUCUAAAAACAGUGUAUAGUCUACGCAUCUUGGAAAACCUUAUUUUUUCUGCCCACUUUUCUGAAUUAAAAAAAAAAGGCUCUGAGCAUAUGAUUUACACAUCAUUUGAUUUUCCACACUGAGGGAAACAGUGAUGACAUAGGUUAUUUAAAAUCAUUCACUUUAUUAUUCAAGAAGACAAUCAGAAAUGUACACACAUGGGUAAAGCCACCUCCCUCUGUGGUCAACCCCGUGUCAUUUCUGUGUGGACCUACGUGGACCAUCUUUGAAUAGGCAGUUGAAAACUGGCUGCCUGCCAUGUUUUUCCAAUCAGUUGUUGUUCAGUGUUUUCCAGUGAGUGUUCAUUUUUCUAAAGACUAUUUCAGUUAGUGGAAACCCUGGUCAAGGUCACCAUGAAUUAAAGAAGAUCUUGGAGACAGAAGAAAACCUGUUGUUUUCUGUAAGCUAAUUCUCAACUUAUUCUCAAGGUCAGGCCCAAACUUCAGACCUCAGUUUCCCCAUCCUUAACACUGUGACAGAAAUUGCUGUCCUUCUUUCUUGCCAAUUUAUUACGAGUUUCACAUUAAAUAUGAAACAUUUCAACAAUUCAACCUUACAGCAUCACGUAUGAGAGGCGGCUCAUUCUCUCGCAUGUAAAACUUAAAUAGUGCUGAGGAAAUGUUGGAAUUAUGAAUAAAUCCCCAACGACAGCAAAAAAAAAUUAGGAGACUACCAUUAAGACUCAUGAAGGGCAUGGGGCUUAUUGCAGACAGAUUUCUUCUAACCAGAAAAAAUAAAAUUAUGAUUUAAAAAAAUAAACCAGGUGGGUAAGUAGGUUCCAAUUUUCCUCACUGUGUAUUCAGAAGCCCCUUGCAGAAGCCCAGGUAAACCACAAUCUGUUCCCUACAACUAGUCAUCUACGCAUGAUCCUAUUUCUUUUUUCUUUUUUUUCCUGACCAGAGGAAAUUGUGUACGUUGUAGAUCUUUAUAGAUUUUGGGCAAAUGAAACCUAUCAGUUUUCUAUUCUCUGCUUAGAAACCCGUCCUCUUAGCAAAGUCCCACACCUGCUCCAUCAUUUCUAAGACUAAACUUGCAGACCAACUGCCGGUGUGAUCAGUCAGCUGCCCAAAGAGAUAUUGUUUGAAGGUAUUACUGAGUGUGUAUCUUUUGUUAUUAAUAAAAAACCGAAAUGCCUGGUCUAUUUAUUUGUUGGGUACCAGUUAUGCUACAUCUAGUAACUGUACUGAAA